GAUGAAGAACGUAGCGAAAUGCGAUAACUAGUGUGAAUUGCAGAAUUCAGUGAAUCAUCGAAUCUUUGAACGCACAUUGCGCCCUUUGGUAUUCCUUAGGGCAUGCCUGUUCGAGCGUCAUUUAAACCUUCAAGCUAAGCUUGGUGUUGGGUGACUGCCCGCUUCACGGCGGACUCGCCUCAAAAUUAUUGGCGGCCGGUACAUUGGCUUCGAGCGCAGCAGAAACGCGAACUCGGGCCCGUCGUAUUGGCUCCCAGAAGCUAUCUUCACAAUUUUGACCUCGGAUCAGGUAGGGAUACCCGCUGAACUUAAGCAUAUCAAUAAGCGGAGGA
rnacentral:misc_RNA from 1 species